CUGGUGGCAGCAGCUCAAGCUGGGAUGUGCUGGUGGCAGCAGCUCAGUCAGGUUGGGAUGUGCCUGGUGGCAGCAGCUCAGGCAGGCUUGGCACACUGGCUGGUGGAGGUCAGGUCAGUCCCUGCAGUGUGUGACUCUGAAGCCAUAACUUUUAACUGGAGUGGUUUUGGUUAUGAUGAUGAUGAUGAUGAUGAUUAAUUAUUGUUAUUAUUUUUUAUUAUUAUUAUUAUUAUUUGCUGGGAGGAGCUUCUGGAUUUUAACUUCUCUUUUUUUGUGGUUGUUUUUUUUUUUUACCUGGUGUUAGUUCUUUCUAAAGAGAAGCAAAACAAUCUCUCGAUGAUUACCUCUGGACUUGUUUGUUUGUAAAGAAAUCAGUGCAAAAAAAAAGAAAGAAAAAAAAAGAACAAAAAAAAAGGAAAAAAAAAAAGAGAAAAGAGGAAAAAAAAAUACAAAAAAGGUCGAAAAAGAGGAAAAAAAGGAAAGCAAAAA